rnacentral:misc_RNA from 1 species
GCAAACUUGGUCAUUUAGAGGAAGUAAAAGUCGUAACAAGGUCUCCGUUGGUGAACCAGCGGAGGGAUCAUUACUGAGCGUAAAAACUCCAAACCCACUGUGAACCUACCCAAACGUUGCCUCGGCGCGCCGCCCAGCGCGCGCGCCGGGGGACCCAAACUCGCGAUUUCAGAGGAUCUUCUGAGUGGCCUUAGGGCAACCAAUAAGUUAAAACUUUCAACAACGGAUCUCUUGGCUCUGGCAUCGAUGAAGAACGCAGC